rnacentral:rRNA from 1 species
GUUUGAUCCUGGCUCAGGACGAACGCUGGCGGCGUGCCUAAUACAUGCAAGUCGAGCGGACAGAUGGGNGCUUGCUCCCUGAUGUUAGCGGCGGACGGUGAUAACACGUGGGUAACCUGCCCAAGACUGGAUAACUCGGAAACCNGGGCUAAUACCGGAUGGUUGUUUGAACCGCAUGGUUCAAACAUAAAGGUGGCUUCGGCUACCACUACAGAUGGACCCGCGGCGCAUUAGCUAGUUGGUGAGGCAACGCUCACCAUGCGACGAUGCGUAGCCGACCUGAGAGGGUGAUCGGCCACACUGGGACUGAGACGCGGCCCAGACUCCUACGGAGGCAGCAGUAGGAAUCUUCCGCAAUGGACGAAAGUCUGACGGAGCAACGCCGCGGAGUGAUGAAGGUUUUCGGAUCGUGCUCUGUUAGGAAGAACAAGUGCCGUUCGAAUAGGCGGUACCUUGACGGUACCUAACCAGAAAGCCACGNCAACUACGCGCCAGCAGCCGCGGUAAUACGUAGGCGCGCGUUGUCCGAAUUAUUGGGCGUAAAGGGCUCGCAGGCGGUUUCUUAGUCUGAUGUGAAGCCCCGCUCAACCGAGGUCAUUGAAACUGGGGAACUUGAGUGCAGAAGAGAGAGUGGAAUUCCACGUAGCGGUGAAAUGCGUAGAGAUGUGGAGGAACACCAGUGGCGAAGGCGACUCUCUGGUCUNNAAANUGACGCUGAGGAGCGAAAGCGUGGGAGCGAACAGGAUUGAUCUGCAGUCCACGCCGUAAACGAUGAGUGCUAAGUGUUAGGGGUUUCCGCCCUAGUGCUGCAGCUAACGCAUUAAGCACUCGCCUGGGGAGUACGGUCGCAAGACUGAAACUCAAAGGAAUUGACGGGGCCCGCACAAGGCGGACAUNUGGUUUAAUUCGAAGCAACGCGAAGAACCCNUACCAGGUCUUGACAUCCUCUGACAAUCCUAGAGAUAGGACGUCCCUUCGGGGGCAGAGUGACAGGUGGCAUGGUUGUCGUCAGCUCGUGUCGUGAGAUGGGUUAAGUCCGCAACGAGCGCAACCCUUGAUCUUAGUUGCCAGCAUUCAGUUGGGCACUCUAAGGUGACUGCCGGUGACAAACCGGAGGAAGGUGGGAUGACGUCAAAUCAUCAUGCCCCUUAUGACCUGGGCUACACGUGCUAAAUGGACAGGGCAGCGAAACCGCGAGGUUAAGCCAACCAAAUCUGUUCUCAGUUCGGAUCGCAGUCUGCAACUCGACUGCGUGAAGCUGGAAUCGCUAGUAAUCGCGGAUCAGCAUGCCGCGGUGAAUACGUUCCCGGCCUUGUACACACCCGCCCGUCACACCACGAGAGUUUGUAACACCCGAAGUCGGUGAGGUAACCUUUAGAGCCAGCCGCCGAAGGUGGGACAGAUGAUUGGUGAAGUCGUAACAAGGUAGCCGUACGGAAGGUGCGGCUA